rnacentral:rRNA from 1 species
UCCGGCUGAUCCUGCCGGAGGCUACCGCUCUUCGAGUUUGACUAAGCCAUGCGAGUUUUGGUUACAUUCUGUGGCCAAAGCAAAUUGCUCAGUAACACGUAGUCAAUCUACCCUUGAGCCUGAUACAAGCCCGGGAAACUGGGGAUAAGAUCAGAUAGUUAAGGACUCCUGGAAUGGGCCUUAACCAAUCAAGGAUGAGACUGCGGCCUAUCAGGCUGUUGAGAGUGUAAAGUACUCUCAAACCUAUAACGGGUACCGGCCUUGGGAGAGGAUGCCGGGAGAUGGGUUCUGAGACAUGAAUCCAGGUCCUACGGGACGCAGCAGGCGCGAAAAUUUCCCAAUGCGCGCAAGCGUGAGGAAGAGACUCGAAGUGCUUUCGUAUAUUUACGGGAGCUUUUCUACAGUUUAAACAGCUGUAGGAAUAAGUGGUGGGUAAUACGGGUGCCAGCCGCCGCGGUAAUACCCGAGCCACGAGUGGUCGCCGCGAUUAUUGGGCUUAAAGCGUUCGUAGUCGGUCCUACAAGUUCUUAGUGAAAUCCUGCAGCAAACUGCAGGGCUUGCUGGGAAUACUGUUGGACUUGAGACCGGGAGAAGUUAAGCGUAUUCCAGGGGUAGUGGUAAAAUACUUUAAUCCUUGGAGGACGACCUGUGGCGAAGGCUCUUAACCAGAACGGAUCUGACGAUGAGGGACGAAAGCUAGGGGAUCAAAGCGGAUUAGAUACCCGCGUAGUCCUAGCUGUAAACGAUACCCACUAGACUUUGGCAACCUCACGUGGGUUGCCAGGGUUAAAGGGAAACCGUUAAGUGGGUCGCCUGGGGAGUACAGUCGCAAGGCUGAAACUUAAGGGAAUUGGCGGGGGAGCACACAAGGGGUGAAGGCUGCGGUUUAAUUGGAUUCAACGCCGGAAAUCUUACCAGUGGCGACAGCAGAAUGAAGGUCCGUUUGAUGAGCGUACCAGACACGCUGAGCGGUGGUGCAUGGCCGUCGUCAGUUCGUGCCGCGAGGUGUCCUGUUAAGUCAGGCAACGAACGAGAUCCACACCUCAUGUUGCUAUCAGUUUCGACUGAGCACUCAUGAGGGACAGCUACUGAUGAAGUAGAGGAAGGAGUGGGCGACGGCAGGUCUGUAUGCCCCUAAUCCACUGGGCUACACGCGGCCUGCAAUGGCCGGUACAAUGGGCUGCGACCCUGAAAGGGGGAGCUAAUCCCGAAAGCCGGUCUCAGUUCGGAUCGAGGGUUGUAACUCACCCUCGUGAAGCCGGAAUCCCUAGUAGUCGAAAGUCACUAUCUUUCGACGAAUACGUUCCUGCUCCUUGCACACACUGCCCGUCAAGCCAACCGAGUGGGAUUUUGGCGAGCUUCCGGUUUUUGCCGGGAUCGAGCCACGGUUCUGCAAGGUGGGC